UACGUAGGGAGCAAGCGUUGUCCGGAAUCAUUGGGCGUAAAGCGCGCGUAGGCGGCCCGGUAAGUCCGCUGUGAAAGUCAAAGGCUCAACCUUUGAAAGCCGGUGGAUACUGUGGGGCUAGAGUCCGGAAGAGGCGAGUGGAAUUCCUGGUGUAGCGGUGGAAUGCGCAGAUAUCAGGAGGAACACCAAUAGCGAAGGCAGCUCGCUGGGACGGUACUGACGCUAAGGCGCGAAAGCGUGGGGAGCGAACAGG
rnacentral:rRNA from 1 species